rnacentral:miRNA from 1 species
AACUACGUUUGUUCUGGGUAUAAGCUUUCGUGUGCUUGCACACUUCUUCCGAUAUCUGAAGUAUCUGAAGAAGUGUGCAAGCACACGAAAGCUUAUACCAAGAACAAAUUUAGUUGG